UCAUAUGCUUGUCUCAAAGAUUAAGCCAUGCAUGUCUAAGUACAUGCCGUAAUAAGGCGAAACCGCGAAUGGCUCAUUAAAUCAGUUAUGGUUCCUUAGAUCGUACCUUACUACUUGGAUAACUGUGGUAAUUCUAGAGCUAAUACAUGCAGCAGAGCUCCGACCUUCGGGGACGAGCGCUUUUAUUAGACCAAGAUCAAUCGGGCCUCGUGUCCGUGAAACGUGGUGACUCUGUAUAACUUUGAGCUGAUCGCACGGGCUCGUCCCGGCGACGUAUCUUUCAAGUGUCUGCCUUAUCAACUGUCGAUGGUAGGUUAUCUGCCUACCAUGGUCGCUACGGGUAGCGGGGAAUAAGGGUUCGAUUCCGGAGAGGGAGCCUGAGAAACGGCUACCACAUCCAAGGAAGGCAGCAGGCGCGCAAAUUACCCACUCCCGGCACGGGGAGGUAGUGACGAAAAAUAACAAUACGGGACUCUUUUGAGACCCCGUAAUUGGAAUGAGUACACUCUAAAUCCUUUAACGAGGAUCCAUCGGAGGAAAAGUCUGGUGCCAGCACCCGCGGUAAUUCCAGCUCCGAUAGCGUAUAUUAAAGUUGUUGCGGUUAAAAAGCUCGUAGUUGGAUCUCAGUUCCAGACGGGCGGUCCGCCUACCGGCGGUUACUGCCUGUUCUGAACAGCCAGCCGGUUUCCUUUGAUGAUCUUCACCGGUUGUCUUGGGUGACCGGCACGUUUACUUUGAAAAAAUUAGAGUGCUCAAAGCAGGCGUGACGCCUGAAUAAUGGUGCAUGGAAUAAUAGAAUAGGACCUCGGUUCUAUUUUGUUGGUCUUCGGAACACGAGGUAAUGAUUAAGAGGGACAGACGGGGGCAUUCGUAUUGCGACGCUAGAGGUGAAAUUCUUGGACCGUCGCAAGACGAACUACUGCGAAAGCAUUUGCCAAGAAUGUUUCCGUUAAUCAAGAACGAAAGUUAGAUGAUCGAAGGCGAUCAGAUACCGCCCUAGUUCUAACCAUAAACGAUGCCAGCCAGCGAUCCGGCUGUGUUCCUCAAAUGACACGCCGGGCAGCUUCCGGGAAACCAAAGCUUUUGGGUUCCGGGGGAAGUAUGGUUGCAAAGCUGAAACUUAAAGGAAUUGACGGAAGGGCACCACCAGAUAUGGAUCUUGCGGCUUAAUUUGACUCAACGCGGUGCAACUUACCCGGCCAGGACACAAGCAGGAUUGACAGACUGACAGCUCUUUCUUGAUUUUGCGGAUCGUGGUGCAUGGCCGUUCUUAGUUCGUGG
rnacentral:rRNA from 1 species